AAGGUGGUCGUACUGGAAAGUGUGGCUAGAUGCAUAUCCUUUCUAAGAGGAAGAUAAAUCAAAAACGUCCUAAUUUUAUUUACUUUUCUCUAUAUUUUUAUUUUGCAUGAAAAAGCUUUUGAAUUCAACUAGUAAAUUUUUAGUUUAACCUUUAGAAAAAAUAAAUCUUUAGAAAGUGUUUAGACAAUCUCUUAUUAUACAGUUUAUACACAUAUUAAAUUAAACGUUGUUAAUAGUAAACAUAAUUUUAGCAAUAUUUUGAGUUGAAAGUUUUUUAUAUUGCUAAAUAUGUAUUUUAAAUCUAAUAGAACUGGCAAUUUCAAUUUUAAAAAUUGAAAUUGCAUUAAUGGAGUAAAUAUACCGACUAACAUCGAAAUUGACAAAUGUGGAGAUUGGGAGUUUAUUUUUAUUGUUCAUCAUAGUUAGUAAGUAGACUAUAGUACAUAAUCAACUUGGAAAAAUGGAAUACAUUGGGACCAGGAUGAGUUGAACAUCUACCGACCUCAGGUUUAUCAGA
rnacentral:misc_RNA from 1 species